ACGGGUGAGUAACGCGUGGGUAACCUGCCUCAUACAGGGGGAUAACAGUUAGAAAUGACUGCUAAUACCGCAUAAGCGCACAGGGCUGCAUGGCCCGGUGUGAAAAACUCCGGUGGUAUGGGAUGGACCCGCGUCUGAUUAGCUGGUUGGAGGGGUAAUGGCCCACCAAGGCGACGAUCAGUAGCCGGCCUGAGAGGGUGAACGGCCACAUUGGGACUGAGACACGGCCCAGACUCUUACGGGAGGCAGCAGUGGGGAAUAUUGCACAAUGGGGGAAACCCUGAUGCAGCGACGCCGCGUGAAGGAAGAAGUAUCUCGGUAUGUAAACUUCUACCAGCAGGGAAGAAAAUGACGGUACCUGACUAAGAAGCCCCGGCUAACUACGUGCCAGCAGCCGCGGUAAUACGUAGGGGGCAAGCGUUAUCCGGAUUUACUGGGUGUAAAGGGAGCGUAGACGGAAGAGCAAGUCUGAUGUGAAAGGCUGGGGCUUAACCCCAGGACUGCAUUGGAAACUGUUUUUCUAGAGUGCCGGAGAGGUAAGCGGAAUUCCUAGUGUAGCGGUGAAAUGCGUAGAUAUUAGGAGGAACACCAGUGGCGAAGGCGGCUUACUGGACGGUAACUGACGUUGAGGCUCGAAAGCGUGGGGAGCAAACAGGAUUAGAUACCCUGGUAGUCCACGCCGUAAA
rnacentral:rRNA from 1 species